rnacentral:rRNA from 1 species
UAGAGUUUGAUCAUGGCUCAGAACGAACGCUGGCGGCGUGCUUAACACAUGCAAGUCGAGUGCGCGUUCUUGUAGCAAUACAGGAAUGGCGCACGGCGCACGGGUGCGUAACACGUGGGUAAUCUGCCCUCUGAUGGGGAAUAACCCGCCGAAAGGCGGGCUAAUUCCGCAUAACAUUCCUUGGACCCCGGUUCGAGGAUUCAAAGGCGUAAGUCGUCGGAGGUGGAGCCCGCGCACGAUUAGCUAGUUGGUAGGGUAACGGCCUACCAAGGCUUUGAUCGUUAGCUGGUCUGAGAGGAUGGCCAGCCACACUGGAACUGAGACACGGCCCAGACUCCUGCGGGAGGCAGCAGUGGGGAAUAUUGCGCAAUGGGCGCAAGCCUGACGCAGCGACGCCGCGUGGGGGAUGACGGCCUUCGGGUUGUAAACCCCUUUCACCAUUGACCAAGGCCCCUAGUGGGUUGAGUGUAGGUGGGGAAGAAGCACCGGCUAACUACGUGCCAGCCGCCGCGGUAAUAC